rnacentral:rRNA from 1 species
AGAAAUUUGGAUUAUACCCCAUAGUAUAAUGAAGUGGCAUCACUUUAUUAUUAAAGAUUUAUCACUCGAAGAUGGCUGUGCGGCUGAUUAGGUAGUUGGCCGGGGUAAAGGCCCACCAAGCCUGCGAUCAGUAACUGGUGUGAGAGCACGACCAGUCACACGGGCACUGAGACACGGGCCCGACUCCUACGGGAGGCAGCAGUAAGGAUAUUGGUCAAUGGAGGCAACUCUGAACCAGCCAUGCCGCGUGGAGGAUGAAGGUCCUCUGGAUUGUAAACUUCUUUAUAUGGGACGAAAAAGGCUUUUCUAAGUCGUCUGACGGUACCAUAUGAAUAAGCACCGGCUAACUCCGUG